GAUGAACGCUGGCGGCGUGCUUAACACAUGCAAGUCGAACGGACUUUUAUUGAAGCCUAGCGAUAUAAAAGUUAGUGGCGGACGGGUGAGUAACGCGUGAAUAACCUGCCUUAUACUGGGGGACAACAGUUGGAAACGACUGCUAAUACCGCAUAAGCGCACUAAAGCUGCAUGGCUCAGUGUGAAAAACUCCGGUGGUAUAAGAUGGAUUCGCGUCUGAUUAGCUAGUUGGUGAGGUAACGGCUCACCAAGGCGACGAUCAGUAGCCGGCCUGAGAGGGUGAACGGCCACAUUAGGACUGAGACACGGCCCAAACUCCUACGGGAGGCAGCAGUGGGGAAUAUUGCACAAUGGGGGAAACCCUGAUGCAGCGACGCCGCGUGAGUGAAGAAGUAUUUCGGUAUGUAAAGCUCUAUCAGCAGGGAAGAAAAUGACGGUACCUGACUAAGAAGCCCCGGCUAACUACGUG
rnacentral:rRNA from 1 species